CCUACGGGCGGCUGCAGUGAGGAAUAUUGGUCAAUGGGCGCAAGCCUGAACCAGCAACGCCGCGUGAAGGAAGACGGCUCUCUGGGUUGUAACUUCUUUUUGCAGGGAAGAGUAGAAGACGAUACCUGUCGAAUAAGCAACGGCUAACUACGUGCCAGCAGCCGCGUUAAUACGUAGGUUGCAAGCGUUGUCCGGAUUUACUGGGUGUAAAGGGUGUGUAGGGGGGUUGACAUGUCAUGUGUGAAAUCCGGCGGCUUAACCGCAGAACUGCAUUUGAAACUGUUGAUCUUGAGUGCUGGAGAGGCAGACGGAAUGCUUGGUGUAGCGGUGAAAUGCGUAGAGAUCAGGAGGAACACCAGUGGCGAAGGCGGUCUGCUGGACAGCAACUGACGGUGAGGCGCGAAAGCGUGGGGAGCAAACAGGAUUAGAUACCUGAGUAGUC
rnacentral:rRNA from 1 species